UCAAAUUUGGUGUGUGUAUCUCAGGGGUCAGGAUUUGAAGGGUUAGCGUCAGCCAGUUAGCAUGGCAUUUGGCCGCUGACAUUUUUGAAAACAUGGCGUUACAUGGUUGCAACUUCCGUUACCAGUUUGCACAUGCUGAUUGGUAGAUGACAGCUCAUGCACGAGUUUAGUG